rnacentral:tRNA from 1 species
UCCCUGGUGGACUAGUGGCUAAGACUCCACAUUCCCAAUACAAGCGGCCCAGGUUCAAUUCCUGGUCAGGGAA